UGAAAGUAGCCCAAGGCUGAAAUCUUAUGCACAACUUACAAAAGGAGCUCUCAGAUUUUCUGCUGAGCAAACAUGCUUCAGAUCCAGUUGCAAUAGGCAUGGACAACUCAGUAUCCAAAGAUGACCUAUUAAUUUCUCUCCCUCUUGUGUUUUCUUGGUGCAUCAUAAUGGGGUCCUUCUCAUUAAAGGACAACUAGACUUGGAAGGUACUUGGUCCUUUGCAAUUUUGCCACUUUUGCAAGCCAUGGGGCCGUUCCUGUCUUCUCUUUCAUCAUCUCUACCGCCAGUGGUGCUAAUUUGGCAGACAGAUGCCCGCUACUAGUCAACACCCAUCCCAGGAAGCUCGUGACUCAGUUGGAACAGGGAGACGAGUGGGAGCUGGGUUCCUGUUUAUUAGGUGAUUGUAUGAAGAAGACCCAAGACCACCCAGUGGGAUUACUACAGAGAACUACUUAUCAUGCAGCCAAUGAAGACCCGGAAGAGGCCGCUUUGGGAUACAUAGUCAGAGAUCACAGCGUUGGCAGC